rnacentral:rRNA from 1 species
CCCAACAAGUUUAAUUUAUAUUUUUAAAUUUUAUACGUUUAGGUUGCGGGGAUCUAGAAAAUCUUACCUUUGGAAGCGAAUCUCGGAAUUACAUAAAUUGAUAAUAGAUAUUCAGACUGCUCAUGCUAAGUUGGGCAGUCAAGACGGAAACAGCCGAGAACACUGAUCAAGGUCCCAAAUGAUUGUUAAGUGAAAUUAAGGACGUAGCAAUAUCGUAUACAGCUGUGAAGUGAGCCUGGCAGUCGCUACUUAUAAUGAUCGUACGUAACAACGCAUCAGCAGUAUUAAAUUUUAUUAUUUAAUAAUAAAAUUUAAAUGAUAGUAGCGCCGAAAAUUUAACGGGUCUUAAACAAUCAACCGAUAUCGUGUNGGUUUUAUAAAAAUUAUUUKUUUUUAUAAAGUCUAGGUAGUAGAACAUUCAGUUUAACUGUUAAUUAAAUAGUGUUUCAUUGU